ACAGCUCAGUUGGUAGAGCAUGAGACUCUUAAUCUCAGGGCUGUGGGUUCGAGCCCCAUGUUGGGUA